AUCAUCUCAUACGUUUUCUCACUUGAUAGGAAUACAGAGAAGAUUAGCAUGGCCCCUUCGCAAGGAUGAUACGCACAAAUCGAGAAAUGGUUUAAAUUUCU
rnacentral:snRNA from 1 species